CACAGGUGACAUUCCAAGGAAAUGUCCCAGAUUUGCAGUCUGAUGGCGAACUGUCAUCCACACUACCAGAUGAAGAUCGAGACACCGGAAAUAAAAAUGAGGAAUUGCUCCCAGUACCUGGAAUUGUUCUUGCGCAAGCAGAGGAAGGACAGGAAGUACUGGUGGCCAAAAGACAAGUGAACACGGAAGAGGAGGAGAAGGUAGAAGAUGAAGAAGAAGAGGAAAAGAG